GUACAUUAGUGCUUGCGCACGACAAUAAAUUUCAUUACAUUCGAGUGUGUGUAAAAAUCCUCUGCCGGCCGAAGCUAGCAAGAGGCCAAAGGUUCACAGGGUAUUGGAUGAAAGUCACCAACGUGCACUUGCCGGAGCCAGCACUGGAGGCAACGAUUCACAGUCAAUAAUGAUCCUUCCGCAGGUUCACCUACGGAAA
rnacentral:misc_RNA from 1 species